rnacentral:rRNA from 1 species
CCUACGGGUGGCAGCAGUCGAGAAUCAUUCACAAUGGGCGAAACCCUGAUGGUGCGACGCCGCGUGGGGGAAUGAAGGUCUUCGGAUUGUAAACCCCUGUCAUGUGGGAGCAAAUUAAAAAGAUAGUACCACAAGAGGAAGAGACGGCUAACUCUGUGCCAGCAGCCGCGGUAAUACAGAGGUCUCAAGCGUUGUUCGGAAGCACUGGGCGUAAAGGGUGCGUAGGCUGUUUCGUAAGUCGUGUGUGAAAGGCGCGGGCUCAACCCGCGGACGGCACAUGAUACUGCGGGACUAGAGUAAUGGAGGGGUAAGCGGAAUUCGCGGUGUAGCAGUGAAAUGCGUAGAUAUCGAGAGGAACACUCGUGGCGAAGGCAGGUUCCUGGACAUUAACUGACGCUGAGGCACGAAGGCCAGGGGAGCGAAAGGGAUUAGAUACCCAAGUAGUC